rnacentral:rRNA from 1 species
AGUGAACGCUGGCGGUAGGCCUAACACAUGCAAGUCGAACGGCAGCACAUUAAGAGCUUGCUCUUACGGGUGGCGAGUGGCGGACGGGUGAGGAAUACAUCGGAAUCUACUUUUUCGUGGGGGAUAACGUAGGGAAACUUACGCUAAUACCGCAUACGACCUACGGGUGAAAGCAGGGGAUCUUCGGACCUUGCGCGAUUGAAUGAGCCGAUGUCGGAUUAGCUAGUUGGCGGGGUAAAGGCCCACCAAGGCGACGCUCCGUAGCUGGUCUGAGAGGAUGAUCGGCCACACUGGAACUGAGACACGGUCCAGACUCCUACGGGAGGCAGCAGUGGGGAAUAUUGGACGAUGGGCGCAAGCCUGAUCCAGCCAUACCGCGUGGGUGAAGAAGGCCUUCGGGUUGUAAAGCACUUUUGUUGGGAAAGAAAAGCAGCAGGUUAAUACCCCGCUGUUCUGACGGUACCCAAAGAAUAAGCACCGGCUAACUUCGUG